rnacentral:rRNA from 1 species
GACGAACGCUGGCGGCGUGCCUAAUACAUGCAAGUUGAGCGAUGAAGAUUGGUGCUUGCACCAAUUUGAAGAGCAGCGCACGGGUGAGUAACGCGUGGGGAAUCUGCCUUUGAGCGGGGGACAACAUUUGGAAACGAAUGCUAAUACCGCAUAACAACUUUAAACAUACGUUUUAAGUUUGAAAGAUGCAAUUGCAUCACUCAAAGAUGAUCCCGCGUUGUAUUAGCUAGUUGGUGAGGUAAAGGCUCACCAAGGCGAUGAUACAUAGCCGACCUGAGAGGGUGAUCGGCCACAUUGGGACUGAGACACGGCCCAAACUCCUACGGGAGGCAGCAGUAGGGAAUCGUCGGAAAUGGACGAAAGUCUGACCGAGCAACGCCGCGUGAGUGAAGAAGGGUUUCGGAUCGUAAAACUCUGUUGGUAGAGAAGAACGUUGGUGAGAGUGGAAAGCUCAUCAAGUGACGGUAACUACCCAGAAAGGGACGGCUAACUACGUG